UAGAUACCCGGGUAGUCCUAGGUGUAAACGCUGUGAACUUGGUGUCGGGGGUCCGCAAGGGGUCCCCGGUGCCGGAGUGAAGAUGUUAAGUUCACUGCCUGGGGAGUACGGUCGCAAGGCUGAAACUUAAAGGAAUUGGCGGGGGAGCACUGCAACGGGAGGAGCGUGCGGUUUAAUUGGAUUCAACGCCGGAAAACUCACCAGGGCCGACUGUUAUAUGAAGACCAGCGUAACGAGCUUGUCGGAUUUUCAGAGAGGUGGUGCAUGGCCGUCGUCAGUUCGUACUGUAAAGCGUUCUGUUAAGUCAGAUAACGAACGAGACCCUCAUCUCUAUUUGCAACCUGUCUCUCCGGAGGCGGCGCACUAUAGAGAGACCGCUGGUGUGAAACCAGAGGAAGGCGAGGGCAACGACAGGUCAGUAUGCCCCGAAUGUCCUGGGCUACACGCGCGCUACAAAGGACGGGACAAUGGGAAGCUAGGCCGAGAGGCCACGCUAACCCGAAACCCGUUCAUAGUUCGGAUUGAGGGCUGUAACUCGCCCUCAUGAAGCUGGAUUCCGUAGUAAUCGUGUUUCAAUAUAGCACGGUGAAUAUGCCCCUGCUCCUUGCACACACCGCCCGUCAAACCAUCUUAGUUGGGGGUGGGUGAGGCUGCGCUUUAUGGCGUAUUCGAGCCUGCCUUCGACAAGGAGGGUUAAGUCGUAACAAGGUAUCUGUAGGGGAACCUGCAGAUG
rnacentral:rRNA from 1 species